CCUAGACCUACUAAAUCAGAACUAAAAAGUAUGUUACCUCAAUCCUCUGAUAAUGUUUGAGCAGCAGUUCUCUGACUCAUUCCUAUAGAUUUGAAUUUCAUUCUCUUUCAGGCACACACAUUCAGCCAGCCCUUCCUGGUUGAUUUCUCAAGAUUUCACUGGCCCCCCAUGGCUCCAUGCAGGCUUUUGCCUGUUUGUCCUAUGAAGGCUAAUCUGCUUCCAGGGUCUGCAGGCACCUUCGAGGCCUGAGACCAGUCACUAAGAUGUCUGGGCCCUUGGAUGUCAGAGGCCUAUUCAGAUAUUCAUACCAUGUGCUUCAGAGGAAGGAUUUCACAGAAUGUUUUGAUUUGGAUGACUGGUAGGAGAAAUGGGAGAAGACUGUUUAUAGACCUAAAAUGAGACCUAGAAGAGGAAGUCCCCACAGGAGACAGAGCAAGACAAGGAAGAAAUGCCUCAAAAAGAGAUGGGGAAUUAAAGAGGAAAAUCUUGUGAAUGUUUUUAUGCUAUAAUAAGGAAUUUGAUUCAAGGUCACUGAUAGUGACGCAUCAAGACUAACUGUCACUAUGACUUGAUGAAUAAUCAAGCUAGUAUGUUACAAUUUUUUUUAAAUAAAUGGAGUUCUAUAACUUUGGUUAAUAAAAGUCUACAACUAGUAGCCCUU
rnacentral:lncRNA from 1 species